AACACGACUGGCCCUGUAGCGGCACACGAGUCAACGGAAGAUUCGAAUCGGGAGUGACUCAUAUUGUUGUGCUUUGGAGUGUCAACAUUACUUUUUCUUGAAAGGUAAACGAACUCCAAACAAAAUAUUAACGCUGUUAUUUGUAAUCGUCAACCGGAGUUGCUACAAAUAGACGAACGUGCUCUCUAGGACAAUCAAAGUAUAGCGGAGCAAUAUAGCGAAUCAUUAUAGCGAAUCAUUAUAGCGAAUCAUUAUAGCGAAUCAUUAUAGCGAGUCGUACAGUCGAAUAGCGAGCAUAGAGUUGAACAGUAACAUUGAGCGAGCAACUAUAACGACCUGCAUACGGAAGACGAAACGAGCAGAUGGGAGAUUUGUUGAGGAAAAUGUUAGGUUGGUAUGAUCACUAGUUCCUACAUGCAAAGUUGGUACGACUACUAACGACGCUCCUUCGUUUUUCCCCGUGUGCCACGUGUUAAUUAUCAGAGAGUAUGUUGAAAUGGUUGUACAUGGUGAUGAAAUACAGAGUAUAUAAAACUAAAUCUGUGUGAAUCAAU